rnacentral:rRNA from 1 species
AUGGCGGCGGCCACCGCUCCGGCGACCGCGACGAAGCUGGCGGCGGAUGAGUACACGGCGGAGCUCGCGGGGGUGCCGGUGGGGGCGCCGACGGGGGCUCCAGCGGGUGUGGCAGAGACCGCGGACGGCGUCAUCGCGGAGGGAGCGUCGAGGGGCCGUCCUGGGCGCCAGCAUGGGGCCCUGCGCGGCGGCGGCGACGGCGAGGAGGGCGAGGAGGGCGGCGACCACGGCGAAGCGAGCCAUCUGGUUGUUGUCGACGGUGAAAGACUUGCCGGAGAAGAUUCGGAGAGGAGACGGUGGGCGGUGGCGAGCGAAUGCUUAGCAGAGGAGACGACGGUGGUGAGCUGCGAGUUGUGA